rnacentral:sRNA from 1 species
GGCAACUGCCGAAGACAGUAGGUGCUGUAAAGCGUAAGGAUAACCCGCCUACCGAGGAAAGUCAGAUUUAUUACGCAAGUAUGAAUUUACGAGCCUCUGUGUCUUUGCGCACAGAGGCUUUUUUAGUA